rnacentral:tRNA from 1 species
GCCUCGGUAGCGCAGUAGGCAGCGCGUCAGUCUCAUAAUUUGAAGGUCGUGAGUUCGAUACUAACCCGGGGCA